rnacentral:sRNA from 1 species
GCUGGGUGUAGUGGCGCACACCUGUAAUCUCAGCACUCGGGAGGCUGAGGCAGGAGGAUGGUUGCAAGUUCAAGACCAGCCUGGGCUACAAAGUGAGCUCAAAACCAGCCUGAACUGCAUACUGAGAUGCUGUCUCAAAAAAGACCAAAAAAAAAGAAAGAAAAGAAAAGAGGAUUUCGCUCUGCAGUUCAGGCUGGCCUUAAACUCACUUGGUAGCCCAGGCUGGCCUCGAAAUUGCAGUGAUCUUCCUGCCUCA